rnacentral:rRNA from 1 species
GACGAACGCUGGCGGCGUGCUUAACACAUGCAAGUCGAACGAUGAAGCCUAGCUUGCUAGGUGGAUUAGUGGCGAACGGGUGAGUAAUACGUGAGUAACCUACCUUUAACUCUGGGAUAAGCCUGGGAAACUGGGUCUAAUACCGGAUACGACCAAUCUCCGCAUGGGGUGUUGGUGGAAAGCGUUAUGUAGUGGUUAUAGAUGGGCUCACGGCCUAUCAGCUUGUUGGUGAGGUAACGGCUCACCAAGGCGACGACGGGUAGCCGGCCUGAGAGGGUGACCGGCCACACUGGGACUGAGACACGGCCCAGACUCCUACGGGAGGCAGCAGUGGGGAAUAUUGCACAAUGGGGGCAACCCUGAUCCAGCCAUGCCGCGUGUCUGAAGAAGGCCUUCGGGUUGUAAAGGACUUUUGUCCGGGAAGAAAAGCGCGAUGUUAAUACCAUUGCGUGCUGACGGUACCGGAAGAAUAAGCACCGGCUAACUACGUGCCAGCAGCCGCGGUAAUACGUAGGGUGCGAGCGUUAAUCGGAAUUACUGGGCGUAAAGCGGGCGCAGACGGUUACUUAAGCAGGAUGUGAAAUCCCCGGGCUCAACCUGGGAAUUGCGUUCUGAACUGGGUGGCUAGAGUGUGUCAGAGGGGGGUAGAAUUCCACGUGUAGCAGUGAAAUGCGUAGAGAUGUGGAGGAAUACCGAUGGCGAGGCAGCCCCCUGGGAUAGCACUGACGUUCAUGCCCGAAAGCGUGGGUAGCAAACAGG